UGGCUCAGUUGGUAGAGCAUGGUGUUUGCAAUGCCAGCAUGGUGUGUGCGACGCCAGGGUUGUGGGUUCGAAUUCCCAC
rfam:Salmo salar isolate Sally breed double haploid chromosome ssa20, whole genome shotgun sequence.